rnacentral:rRNA from 1 species
GUUUACCAAAAACAUGGCUUCAUGUCAAUAUUAAAAUAUGAAGUCGGACCUGCCCAGUGAGUUUUAAACGGCCGCGGUACUCUGACCGUGCAAAGGUAGCAUAAUCAUUUGCCUUAUAAUUGAAGGCUGGAAUGAAUGGUUUGACAAGAAUACAGCUGUCUCUUUUAGAUUGUUUAGAAUUUUAUUUUUGGAUGAAAAAGUCCAAAUAUUAUUAAAAGACAAGAAGACCCUAUCGAGCUUUAGAGGAAUUAAUGGGCUUAAAAUAAAUCAAUAUAAGUAAAAGAUAAACUAUUAAAUACUUUGGUUGGGGCAACCGAGGAGUAAAUAAAGCCUCCUUUAAAUCAUAAAACUUGCUUGUGUUGAUCCAAGAAUUUUGAUCAAAGGAAUUAGUUACCGUAGGGAUAACAGCAUUAUCUUUUUCAAGAGCCCAUAUCGAAAAAAAGGUUUGUGACCUCGAUGUUGGACCAGAAUAUCCUAAAGAUGCAGAAGUCUUUAAGGGUUGGUCUGUUCGACCAUUAAAAUUCUACGUGAUCUGAGUUCAGACCGG